ensembl:lncRNA novel transcript, sense overlapping NRBP2 3' UTR
UCUUUUGUUGGGGAAGGGUGGCAUUCUGCUGACCACAGCACUCCAACCAAAAGCCAAAAACCAAAGCAAGACUUACUAACGCAUAUCAAAUAAAUUAAAGAUGUCCCUGGCUGGCAUCCUCUGGGAGGAGGGCGGUCACCUGCCUCAGUCUCCUGGCGGCAUCAUUCCAGUGUUACGGGCAUCAUAGCUGCAUGGGUGUUAUUACAGCUUCAUUACCACACGUCUCAGGAGAGAACACGGUGUUCUAGGAUGGCAUUUCUUGCACAACUUUUUGUUUUCCCUGGAGUUAAUAAUUGCCUUUUUUUUGGUUUGCCUA